rnacentral:rRNA from 1 species
GACGUAGGGAGCGAGCGUUGUCCGGAUUUAUUGGGCGUAAAGAGCUCGUAGGCGGCUCGUCGCGUCGACCGUGAAAACCCGCAGCUUAACUGCGGGCUUGCGGUUGAUACGGGCGGGCUAGAGUUUGGUAGGGGAGACUGGAAUUCCUGGUGUAGCGGUGAAAUGCGCAGAUAUCAGGAGGAACACCGGUGGCGAAGGCGGGUCUCUGGGCCGAUACUGACGCUGAGGAGCGAAAGCGUGGGGAGCGAACAGG